rnacentral:rRNA from 1 species
AUUGAACGCUGGCGGCAGGCCUAACACAUGCAAGUCGAGCGAGCGGCGGACGGGAGAGUAAUGUAUGGGGACUGCCCGAUAGAGGGGGCGAACUACUGGAAACGGUAGCUAAUACCGCAUACUAUCGGAUAACCCAUAUGGGAUUAGCUAGUAGGUGAGGUAAUGGCUCACCGAGGCGACGAUCCCUAGCUGGUCUGAGAGGAUGAUCAGCCACACUGGGACUGAGACACGGCCCAGACUCCUUCGGAGGCAGCAGUGGGGAAUAUUGCACAAUGGGCGAAAGCCUGAUGCAGCCAGGCCGCGUGUAUGAAGAAGGCCCUAGGGUUGUAAAGUACUUUCAGUCGGGAGGUGUUACCGACAGAAGAAGAACCGGCUAACUCCGUGCCAGGAGCCGCGGUAAUUC